AGUUAAUUAGCUUAAUAAAAAGCAUAUAUCUUGAAAAUAUAAGUAAGAUUAUAAUAAAUCUAUUAACUU
rnacentral:tRNA from 1 species